rnacentral:SRP_RNA from 1 species
GCCGGGCAUGGUGGUACAUGCCUGUAAUCCCAGCUACUUGGGAGGCUGAGGCAGGAGAAUCGCUUGAACCUGGGAGACGGAGGUUGCAGUGAGCCAAGAUCACGCCACUGCACUCCAGCCUGGGUGACAGAGUGAGACUCUGUCUCAA